rnacentral:lncRNA from 1 species
AAAAUUUCUAAGGCUAUUCUCUCAAUCUCAAUACAUAUCACAUUUCUGAAUUGUAACCUUGUAGCUUAUGGUUGCAGCUCCAUCUUAUUUAGCUCUGGGUUUUUUUUGGGUUGAUAUGCGAAUUAGGCGUCAUUUUACAUUAACACAAGCUAUCGUCGCUAGCAUCCUCGGAACAGUAGGAGGUCUAUACCUCUGGCCCCCGCUGUUAAGUAAACAUUUUGAAAAAUUUCCCAGAGCAAGAAAGGGUGUAGCUCCUGAUUCGUCUGAGACUGCUGGUCUAAAAAAUCCUUCAGAAGCAACUACUUAAUGAGAAAGCAAUUCAAAAUCACAGAACGUGAACUCUCAACCAGCUGCCCCAGUCGCAAUUUAACAGGGAUGUCUAAGCCAUCAAAGAAUUCAUCCUCAUCAGUAUCUCAGUGGGCGGCGAAAUCCCCACUGUCACCGGUUCUUGCAGUUUCAAUUGCAUUAGGAAUUGGAAUCCUUGCUUGGAAAUUUGCGUUAAAACCGCUCUCACAGAAUUCAAAAAUGUACAAAAACGAGCAAGAAGCUGAGAUAUUAUUCCUGGCCUCUCAAAAACCAAAGCCUGAAAAUGUGGAUAAUUUUCGUUCCUAAAAAUACGAAAUUUAGGGGUGUUUUUUUUUUUCUUUCUAUCUAGUAAAUUUUUAGAGCACCUAGUUAUGAUAUUUUGUUUUGAGUUUUUAUUGUCUUUUGUGCCUAAACAAAGAGCACGUACAGCUUGAAUUUUUUUAGUCGUUUACGUGACAAGAGACUUUCAUCUUUGUAAUGGACUUAUUCUGGCACAUGCACGAGGCAAAAGAAAAAAGAAAUAAACAAAUGAGAAAUACAAGCACGCCAAUGUUUUCCCUCUCGUCAUUAAGACUUCAUUCUCUAAAUUAAAAUUUUAUCACGAAACCACAACCAACUAUCUAAUCGAUGGCUAAAGAGCAGAAACACGUAUCUCCGUUUGCAACAUUGCAGCCUUCCUUUUCACCAUAACUGGGUAAGGGAAGACCAUAGAGCAGUGAGAUUCACGAUACAUACUUUAUUAGACACUAGCUGGCCCCCCGCGCUCCGCACGGGCAACACUCACUUUCUCAAAUACUAAAUUCAGUUCAUUUGUAAAAUUUUUAUUGAUAUCAAUGAAAAUUUUAAUAGAAAUCGACUAUAAGAAUUUUGAUGCUGCUUUAUUUUAUUUAUGCUACAGAUUUUUAAAAAGUUUCAAUUUCCUCAACAAUAGAGGUUGCCAUCAACUCUAAUGAUUUUGUUUCAUUGUAAUCUUUAACUCUUGCAUUAAGAACUUUAUACCAUUUUUCUCCCUAUACUUCCGGCUUAUUUGAAUUCCAUGCACUAUUUUGUGCCAAAAGAAAUUCAGAAAAAUUGACACAAAUAUUUGUAACAGUUUAAUGAAACAGGGUUGAACCAAAUAAAUUAAUAGAAUGGGCCUGUUGCAAGGUGAGGGGAUUUGCAAAUUGAUGCCUGAUUCCUGUGGCAAAUUUCACGAAAAGAACGAUGGCGCUACUAAAAAAACUUAAAAUGACCUCACAAACUCAAAAAAAGCUGUUUUUGGAACCGACCCAUUCGAAACGGUCACUUUUACGCGGUAACGGAUCCGCCAUACUGGUGACGUCAAAUGGUUCGACAGACCUGGUCUUUUCAUCAAUAACAAUGUAUUUUCCCAUAAGGAAUUGGCAGCCGCUCUUCAAAUGCAAAUAUCGAGUCAAUCUAUGAUUUUUUGAACAAAAUGGAAUUCAGAAAUGGAUUCCUUGUGCGUUUAAAUGGUUAGAACCUUCAUUAGAUAAAUAAGAAUCGACGGGAUACCAUAAGGUUAAAGUGUUAAAGUGUUACCACCUCUGAUUGGCUCAGCCAUCUUAGGCUGAAUAGAGCCCUUAUGACCCAAAAAUAGCGGACGCCAUAAGUUAAUCUAAUGCAAAGUGACUCAAAAUGUAGUUUUCUUUGCUCAUCAUAACGAGAAAUUCACCCAAAUGCACUAUUGCGACUUCUUUACAUAUUUUUAAGGCUAAUCGUGUGCAAUUUUCGAGAAAAAUUAUCUAAGGUGUAGUAAGGUUGGCAGUAAGUGCGGUUGGUGAUAACCGUCAAAAGUUGGCAAGGACCCCCCUCUCAUCCUCAAAAACCGAAACAAAGCACCGCCAUUUUUGGGUCCUAAGCCUCUCCAUGGGGCCCAGUAGAGUCCCUUUAUACUGAGAGUCAAGACAAUUCGAAUCCAUUUCUGAUUGGUUCCCGUAUUUUAGGCCUCCACAGUGUCACAAACGGGAAUAAAGAUUACAGUUUUACCGAUUGCAAAGAUUAUAAUCUGGAAUGGACCAGGGAAUUACGGGUUCGGCAAGGAACAAACGGAGUGAGCGAAGGAACGGAGAAAGGAAUUUGAGAAUGGGCUGAUCAAAGAUUACGAAAAACGUUCAAUUUCUGUAAUCUUUAUUCCCGUUUGUGACAUCCAUGAGCCGAAUUGUCUUGACUCUCAGUAUAAAGGGACUCUAGGGCCCAGUGGCCAUACUCUCUUAAUAUAGGUACUCUAAUCAUGGGGCUCCGAGAGACUUGCCUCGCUACGCCUGUACUAAACCGAGCCGGACGCACGGUCUACGUGAUUCAAUGUCUUUGCACUGUGGAGGAGGCCUAAAAUACGGGAACCAAUCAGAAAUGGAUUCAAAUUGUCUUGACUCUCAGUAUAAAGGGACUCUAAGGUCGGGAAGCAACAGCAGAAUCGUCCAAGCAAGUAAAGUGAACGUAAGAAUACCAUCCAUUACUUAUUUGUAAUUUGAAUUAACAACUUACAUAUUAAAAAAAGCUAGAAAUAAGCGCGACGAAAUUCACUAAAAUAAAAAAAUGUUUUGUUUGUUUACACUUUUACCCCCGCUUUCCGCCAUUAGGGUUUCUCACACGAUCAAUAUGAGCUAUUAAUAUAUCAAGGUCAUGAUGCGCGCGCAGCUUGUGCGACCAAUCACAGCUCUUCGAUCCAUCAAUAUCGAUAUUGAUGAGAUUGAUAGCCUCAUAUUGAUCGUCUGAGAACCCCUAAUUUCACGUCAUUUUCGCAGUCGGACCAUGUCGGACGUGUGAACACAACCGAAUCGAGAUUCUGGCAUCAACACUCAACAAAAGUAGAGUACCUAUAUUGAGAGAGUAUGGCCACUGGGCCCCGUGGAGAGGCUUAUUAGGACCCAAUAAUGGCGGUGCGUUGUUUUGGUUUUUGUGGAAGGGAGGGGGGUCAUUGCCAACUUUUGACGGUUUUCACCAACCGCACUUACUGCCAACCUUACUACAUCUAAGAUAAUUUUUCUCGAAAAUCGCACACGAUUAGCCAUAAAAAUAUGUAAAGAAGUCGCAAUAGUGCAUUCGAGUAUAUUUCUCGCUACGAUAAGCAAAGAAAACUACAUUUUGAGUCAUUUUGCAUUACAUUAAUUUAUGGCGUCCGCCAUUUUUGGGUUCUAAGGGCUCCAUUCAGCCUAAGAUGGCUGAGCCAAUCAGAGGUGGUAACUCCAGUGGCCAUACCCUCUUGAAGCGUCACCCACCUACAAACUAGAGGCUUCAAAAGACUCAUCGAUUGCCCCGACUUAAACCGCUGGCCAAUGAGGGGCCAGGAAAGGCAUCGAUGGACCUCUUUGAAGCCUC